rnacentral:rRNA from 1 species
UACAGAGGUCCCAAGCGUUGUUCGGAUUCACUGGGCGUAAAGCGCGUGUAGGCGGCUUUGCAAGUCGGGUGUGAAAGCCCUCAGCUCAACUGAGGAAGUGCGCCCGAAACUGCAGAGCUUGAGUACCGGAGAGGAUGGCGGAAUUCCCCAAGUAGAGGUGAAAUUCGUAGAUAUGGGGAGGAACACCGGUGGCGAAGGCGGCCAUCUGGACGGAUACUGACGCUGAGGAGCGAAAGCGUGGGGAGCAAUCAGG